GAUGAACGCUGGCGGCGUGCCUAAUACAUGCAAGUCGAGCGAACUGAUUAGAAGCUUGCUUCUAUGACGUUAGCGGCGGACGGGUGAGUAACACGUGGGCAACCUGCCUGUAAGACUGGGAUAACUUCGGGAAACCGAAGCUAAUACCGGAUAGGAUCUUCUCCUUCAUGGGAGAUGAUUGAAAGAUGGUUUCGGCUAUCACUUACAGAUGGGCCCGCGGUGCAUUAGCUAGUUGGUGAGGUAACGGCUCACCAAGGCAACGAUGCAUAGCCGAGCUGAGAGGGUGAUCGGCCACACUGGGACUGAGACACGGCCCAGACUCCUACGGGAGGCAGCAGUAGGGAAUCUUCCGCAAUGGGCGAAAGUCUGACGGAGCAACGCCGCGUGAGUGAUGAAGGCUUUCGGGUCGUAAAACUCUGUUGUUAGGGAAGAACAAGUACAAGAGUAACUGCUUGUACCUUGACGGUACCUAACCAGAAAGCCACGGCUAACUACGUGCCAGCCGCCGCGGUAA
rnacentral:rRNA from 1 species